GGUUCAGGCUAACAAGGUUGCGUGUUCGAUCCCAGUUCGUGACAUGCUUAUUUUUUUUGACUUCAGUCAUUGGCCUAUUAAAAAAAAAAAAUAACUGAGUUGAAAGUGAAACGACGACGGACUAUAUUUUUAAUAUAAAAAACGUGACUACUAAGAGUCAAUAAGGGAUUAAACAAAUCCCCAAUUCUAGAAAACAAAAGUGGAUUGAAUUAGGGAUUAAACAAAUCCCCAAUUUCUACUCGUGCUUAUACCUCUGUUCCGUCAAUCGCUCGUCGUCGUCAUGGCAACGAAAUGGGAGACUUGGGAGGCCGAACAAGGGGACGAACAAGGAUAUACUAUGUUAUUUUCACAUUGCAAAUUUUACAGCAGCUUGGAGUUGGAAGUAGUUAUUUAUGGAAUAGAGACAGACCGAAAUG